rnacentral:rRNA from 1 species
UAAGUCUCAGUUCGGAUUGAAGGCUGAAAUUCGCCUUCAUGAAGCCGGAAUUGCUAGUAAUGGCAGGUCAGCAUACUGCCGUGAAUACGUUCCCGGGCCUUGUACACACCGCCCGUCACACCAUGAGAGUUGGGAAUACCCGAAGCCUGUGAGCUAACUUUAAGAGGCAGCAGUCGAAGGUAGAAUCAAUGAUUGGGGUGAAGUCGUAACAAGGUAUC